UGUCUUCUACUUCCGAAUGUACGUUUGGCAAAGAUGUUGAUGUUGCCAUUGAGUAAUAACGUUGAGGUUCCCGUGAAUGAUUCUCAGAUAGAAAUUCAAAAAGUCGAUUAUCACAUUUUACCGCAAAAUCGAUUGCUUGACUCAAAGUUUGAGGAUCAGGUAAGUUGAGCAUUAAUUUCUUUACUUCGUAUUGCAAUCCAUAAAGAAAUUGA
rnacentral:lncRNA from 1 species